AACGCGUGGGAAUCUACCUAUCUCUACGGAACAACAGUUGGAAACGACUGCUAAUACCGUAUACGUCCUUAGGGAGAAAGAUUUAUCGGGGAUAGAUGAGCCCGCGUUAGAUUAGCUAGUUGGUGAGGUAAUGGCUCACCAAGGCGACGAUCUAUAGCUGGUCUGAGAGGAUGAUCAGCCACACUGGGACUGAGACACGGCCCAGACUCCUACGGGAGGCAGCAGUGGGGAAUAUUGGACAAUGGGGGCAACCCUGAUCCAGCCAUGCCGCGUGAGUGAUGAAGGCCCUAGGGUUGUAAAGCUCUUUCAACGGUGAAGAUAAUGACGGUAACCGUAGAAGAAGCCCCGGCUAACUUCGUGCCAGCAGCCGCGGUAAUACGAAGGGGGCUAGCGUUGUUCGGAAUUACUGGGCGUAAAGCGCACGUAGGCGGACUAUUAAGUCAGGGGUGAAAUCCCGGGGCUCAACCCCGGAACUGCCUUUGAUACUGGUCGUCUUGAGUUCGAGAGAGGUGAGUGGAAUUCCGAGUGUAGAGGUGAAAUUCGUAGAUAUUCGGAGGAACACCAGUGGCGAAGGCGGCUCACUGGCUCGAUACUGACGCUGAGGUGCGAAAGUGUGGGGAGCAAACAGGAUUAGAUACCCUGGUAGUCCACACCGUAAACGAUGGAAGCUAGCUGUCGGGUUGCAUGCAAUUCGGUGGCG
rnacentral:rRNA from 1 species